rnacentral:tRNA from 1 species
UAUUAUGAUUGUUUAUGGUUAAACUUAUUGAUUGCAAAUCAAUUUAUUAGGGUUCAAUUCCCUUCAUAAUAU